ensembl:lncRNA
GAAAAGACUAUUCUUUCUCCAGGCUUCCCUGGUGGCUCUGACUGUAAAGAAUCCACCUGCAGUGCAGGAGACCUGGGUUUGGUCCCUGAGUUGGGAAGAUUCCUCUGGAGAAGGGAAUGCAAUCCACUGCAGUAUUCUUGCCUGGGGAAUUCCUUGGACAGGAGCAUGGUGGGCUACAGUCCGUGGAGUCACAAAGAGUUGGACACGACUGAUCAACUAACACUUUUACUUUCAUUUUUUCUCCUGCUCCAUUUAAAAAUAAGCAAAUAUGUUUGUUAAUUUAUAUACCCCCUUUCCUAAAUGGUAACAUACUAAUGCAUAUCUUCAGCUAGCUUUGUCACUUAACAAUGUAUUCUGGAGAUCAUGUGCAAGAGACCUUCCUCCUCACCCCCUUUCUUUUAGUUGAUCAUGUGAUAUUCUAUUUUUUUGAGUGGACCCUGUUUUAUUCAACAUGUUUCCUGUUGAUGGACUUUGGGUUUUGUCCAGUUUUGAUAUUAUGCAUAAGGCUGCAGUGAAUAGACUUGGGCAUAUGUCUUUUCAUUUUUUGUUGGUGUAUCUUACAUACAUUCCAGGAGGUGGGACUGCUGAGUCUCAGCAAUACAGGGAAAGAUAUGUCUGUAUUGCCAAGUUCUUUGCCAUAAAAUUUGUACCAUCUUACAUUCUCAACAGCAAUGUUUAUGAGAGCGUGUUUCUCUGCAUUGUUUACAGUAGUGUUUAUUGUCACAUUUUGGAAUUUUGUGAUUCUCAUUAGUGGGAAAUGAAAUAUCACCUACUAAUUUUUUAAGGCUCAACUCAAGUACCAUGUCUUAUUAGUUUGAAUCAGGCAUGUGUAACUUGUUAAACCCAAUACUGUACUGUGGCUAUAAGGAUACAUACAUGAGCACCCCACCCCUAUAAGCAAGAAGCUUUCUGAAUGACUGAAAGUACUGUCUAAUUGAUGUUUUUUAAAAAAAUGUUUCAAGGGCUUGGAAAGUUGUUGGUAUUCAUUGUAUGUUUGCUGAAGGAGAGAUAAAUGAAUAGGCUCAGAAUUAGGAACUUGUUUUUAUAUACCAAUUUAGAGUCUAUGAUUAUGUUUAUGAUCAUUUCCAGUGGGUGUUUAUCUAUUUGGUGGGACCCAUGGGAAAUUCAGGUGACUGUUGUGUUUUUUUUUUUUUCUUUGUCUGAGAAAAGAUGUUCGGAGAGAUGAAGACUUUUUUUCUCUGAACCCCCCAGAGAAUUUGGCAAAUGUAUUUUAUUUUCUAUUUAUGUUUCACCUUAUAAAGUUCUUUCUUAUCUGUUGUUUGUUUUCAGCGUCAUAACAGUGGUGAGACACAUGUGUUAUCAUUCUGCUUCUGGAUGAAAGCCCUGUGACUCAGAAAAGUUUAGUAACUUGAUCAAAGUUACAGAGACAACAGAAGCAGAGCCAGGCCUCAAACUCAGGUCUUCUGAUGCCAAAGCCAGCAUUCUUUCUUGUACACCACAACUGGCAUCUGGAACCUUCUUCUGUUUGUAGAUCUGGGAAAAUUAAACCAAGAUGCAUGAUCAGACAAUUUCUUUAUAAAAGGUGGUGCUAGUGAGAAGGAAAUGGCAACCCACUCCAGUGUUCUUGUCUGGAGAAUCCCAGGGACGGGGGAGCCUGGUGGGCUGCUAUCUAUGGGGUUGCACAGAGUCGGACACGACUGAAGCGACUUAGCAGCAGCAGCAGCAGCAGUGGUAAAGAAUCCAUUUGCCAGUGCAGGAGAUAUAAAAGACACAGGUUCGAUCCCUGGGUUGGGAAGACCCUCUGGGGAAGAAAAUGGCAACCCACUCCAGUAUUCUUGCCUAGAGAAUCCUAUGGACAGAAGAGCCUGAUGGGCUACAGUCCAUGGAGUUGCAAAGAACUGGACAUGACUGAGCAACUUAGCAUGCACACUAACACACAAACAAAUACCCAAUACUUUCCCACUGUGGAAAAAAAAAAAAAAUUCACGCAAUAGAUUAAAUGAAAAGACAGCAAAAAUCAAAUGACUCAAACUGUGAUCGUCCAGAAAUAGUCAUUCAAAAAAUUUUGGUUGGUAUCCUAAUUUGUAUGACCCUGAAUAAAUGAGAUCAAACUAUAAAUGCUGGUUUAUAAACUGCCCUAAAAAAAAAAACAACCCUCUUUAAUGAGUGUAGGCAUCUUUUCCAACAAAAACUGUUAAUUUAGAAUAAUCUUUUGUAUGUCAUAUUCCAUUGUAUAUGUAUUCCACUGUAUAUAUGUAUAUAUUCCAUUGUUUCAUAAAUAUAUUCAUUUCCUGAUGGACAUUUAAGCUAUUUCUAAUUCAUUACAAUUAAAGAUGAAGGAUGUCAAGUCAUAUCUAAGCUUACAAAUGUAUUCAAAAUCACUCAGUGUUUUCUUAGUUGAUUAAGAGGCAGUCAGUAAAUACACUUUGAUAAUUAGGCUUUCACUGCAAUGGUCUAGUUUCUUUUGCAUUUGCAAAAGAUAACUUCAUUGUGACCAUUAUUUUCCUGAAAGAUGGCAACUUAUACUUAAUCACCAUAUCAAAAAAUUAAUUUCAUACUAUUAGAGAUGAGAAGGUAAAAUAAAGUAUCCUUUCCUCAGCUGAAACUAUUAUAGUUAUUUCUAAUUAAACCAUCUCUGAUGCACAUGAUAAAACAUGUACUGGCUUCUCAUCUCAUUUGAAUAUGAAGUUUCGUUGUCACUCAUUUUAGCAGCUCUUUGUUUUACUUAAGUCAAUAAUACCUUUGACUUGAGCUGACACCAUCUCUUCUUGUUAACCAUUGACUGCAGUUCUGCGUAGCUUGAGUUGGAUGAAUAAAAAUAAAAGACAAAUAUUCCUGUAAAUUAAAAAAGUUUAAUUAAAAAAUUUAAAAUCCCAAGCAGGUUAAAGCAAUAUUAUUAAGUAAUUUUAAAAAAAUGUUCUGGGAAUGAAUUUAUAGAACGUUUUUUCUUUUAUCCAGCUUUUACAUUGUAUAGUGUCUGGGACCAUGUGGACAUUAAAUAAAUAUUUGUUGAAGAAAUGAGUGAAUGGGUGAAUGAAUGAAGUACUUUCAAUUUGUGACUUAAAUAUUGGCAUAUAUCUGACUCCAUAGAGCCAGUUUUUUCUACAAUUCAAAUAAUCUGUGUGCAUUAUCGUAGAAUUGCUAUUUCUGUACUUACAAGGUGAAUAUCUUUUGCUGAACAUAGCUCACCAUUUUUUUUUUUUUUAAUCAUUCUCAAGAUCUGUUGAAUUUGGAAGACAUCUGCAAACUGUCCCUUGGGACAAAUCUAGCCUGCUGCCUGUGAGCUAAAAAUGAUUUUUUAAAACAUUUUAAAAUGGUUGAAAAAAAUCAAAAGAAGAAUAUUGUUUGAUAGAUGAAAUUAUAUACAAUUUAAAUCUUAUAAAUAAAAUUUCAUUAGAAUGCCAUGAUUACUUUUGUGCUACAAUGUACUGGUGAGGAGUGGCCCACAGAGCCUAAAAUAUUUACUGUCUCGCCCUUCACAAAAAUGUUUGCCAACUCCUAGUUUAGGUCUGUUUUAGUCAGUUUCAGGUACUAUAGUAGAAUGAUAUGUUCCUAAAAAAAUAUGUUCUUAGCAUAAAGUAAGCAUGGCUAUUACAAUUUACCAAAUAUUAAAUUUUUACAAUCAUUUUUUUUCUGUUUUUAGGAGCUAUGGCUGAGAUAAGACUUUUAAAAAUCUUAUCAAUAUCCCAGCAGUCAAUUUACUGCUUUGAAAUCUGUAGAAAUUAGUUGCAAAUAAAAUCUUGAUUUCAACCUUAC